GAUGAACGCUGGCGGCGUGCUUAACACAUGCAAGUCGAACGGAAAGGCCCAAGCUUGCUUGGGUGCUCGAGUGGCGAACGGGUGAGUAACACGUGGGUGAUCUGCCCUGCACUUUGGGAUAAGCCUGGGAAACUGGGUCUAAUACCGGAUAGGACCAUCGUUUAGUGUCGGUGGUGGAAAGUUUUUCGGUGUGGGAUGAGCUCGCGGCCUAUCAACUUGUUGGUGGGGUAAUGGCCUACCAAGGCGUCGACGGGUAGCCGGCCUGAGAGGGUGUACGGCCACAUUGGGACUGAGAUACGGCCCAGACUCCUACGGGAGGCAGCAGUGGGGAAUAUUGCACAAUGGGCGCAAGCCUGAUGCAGCGACGCCGCGUGGGGGAUGACGGCCUUCGGGUUGUAAACUCCUUUCGCCAAGGACGAAGCGUUUUGUGACGGUACUUGGAGAAGAAGCACCGGCUAACUACGUG
rnacentral:rRNA from 1 species